UACAUAUGGGGCCAGCGUUGUUCGGAAUUACUGGGCGUAAAGGGCUCGUAGGCGGCCAACUAAGUCAGACGUGAAAUCCCUCGGCUUAACCGGGGAACUGCAUCUGAUACUGGAUGGCUUGAGUUCGGGAGAGGGAUGCGGAAUUCCAGGUGUAGCGGUGAAAUGCGUAGAUAUCUGGAGGAACACCGGUGGCGAAGGCGGCAUCCUGGACCGACACUGACGCUGAGGAGCGAAAGCCAGGGGAGCAAACGGG
rnacentral:rRNA from 1 species